UAGAAAGGUGGGCUUCAUUCUAACAUGUUAAUCUGAUUACACAUAGGAGCUGGAGUCAGUUUUCUAGUGAUGGACUAGGAUUGAAGCUACUCGACGAGGCACAAACAUGCUACUAUCUUGCUAGGCUGUGGUCUUCAGUUCAUGUCGUGGCUGGGUUGUUGCCAGUUACUUCAACUAAGCCUGUUCGGACUCUCUCCGCUCUCCAACUCCACGCCGGAGCGGAGCAACAUCUAGUUCUAAUUUGGGGAGUGGCUGAAAAGGGAGUGGCUCUCUGACGUUGCUCCUCGAGGAUGAUGCACUUGAAACCCUCUUUGGUGAGUUCCUGGUCUCCUCCCUCUCUCUCGCUUGUGUCCUGAGAUUGUCCUGCUCGAUAGCCAUGGUUGGCACUAGUGCGAAUCAUCGACCGAAUGAUUGAGGCCUUGGUUAUGUAUGUGGCCAUGCUUCCUUACUAUGCUGGUGGUCCUCCGGCCACCACAAGUGUUUUGUGUUGAUGAUUGGUGUGACGUUUUUUUAGCUGGGGCUAGUUUCAUGUUGUGCACUUGGCCAUCAUCUUCAUAGUUCUUACUGUAGUGUAGCUAUUUUUGGUGUUUUAUCAUGCCAUUGUCCUAAUCUGCUUGUGGA